rnacentral:tRNA from 1 species
GUCAGGAUGGCCGAGUGGUCUAAGGCGCCAGACUCAAGUUCUGGUCUUCGAGAGAGGGCGUGGGUUCAAACCCCACUUCUGACA